rnacentral:lncRNA from 1 species
UUAAUACUGGCAUUGCUCUUGGGAGCCAAGGAGUCCUAGAUGACUGAAUUCUGCUGUGAGGUCUGUAGCUCAGGGAGAAGAUGAGACAAGUGGACUUGGAAAGAACAAUCUUCCUCGAAAAAGUCCUCAGGGUGCAAAGAAGAGAAAUGCAAUAAAAUGAUAAUGAGGAGGCCCAGGACCCGCACAAGGGCACCACUGCAAGUAGAUACUUCGAGGAAACUUCCUGAUGCUUGUCCAGCCCUUGGUGGUGGUGCCCGGCAGCCCGUAUUCUUAUCCCAAAGCAAUAUGUGUGGAGACAGCCCAGCAAAAGCUGAGAGAUUGUGUGUCCAGAGACAUGUUCCAGGAAUGGAAACAGAGAGUGGAGGAGUUUCUUCUCUCCUCCCGUCUCCCGCUAGAGUGGGCGGUCCCUUUGGUGUCAUCGCACUGUCUUCAUAGCCUACUGCGCUCCAGGCCUGUGCGCCCAUGGCGGUCUUGGACCACGAGUGAGCCAUGAGCCCUCCCAAGCCCCAAGGCCAGGUCUGAAGCGGGCUGAUGUGUGCCCCUGGCUUUGUUGCCCAGAUCCUCACCACAAUCCCAGCAUCCCACCACUCUACUGCGAGAAGAGACAAGGGAGGAGAUGCACACCUCAGAGAAGGAGCA